AAAGCUGGAUAAAGACAAAGGGGAAAGAAGACCUCAGGGACUGAGUCACAAAUGUGGUUGGGUAGAGACUGGGGGAAAGGCUAGGGAGAAAAGAGGAGCAGGAGGAAUGUUCUGGGAGAGAAAUAAAGAGGCCAAGAGAGUGGAGCCAGGAGCUGGUGGCGCAGGCAGAUGGAACAACAGAGACAGAGAACAGAGCCAGAGGAGUGGGCACGCAGCGAGGCCUGGCAGCCAAGCCCUGUGGGUUUCCGUGGGAAGCAGAUGCUUCCAGGGAGCAGCAACCAAUGGUCCCCAAGCACGUGGAUGCUUGUUGACUCCAAGCCCAGGGCAACCUCCUCGGCAGCCAGCCUUAACCUGGAGGAGCAACGCAGGUCCAGAGAGGCAGAUGAACGACAGUCCUGUCCCUGUGGGGCUCCAUUGCUUCUCCUCCGUCCUCCUCCAGCUCCACCACCCCCUUGUGUGUCCCAGGAAGCCAUAAGCUGCCCUAUCACGCUUGGAAGGAAGCGCGCUGCAUUGGAGGGCUCCCCUUGAAUGGAUGGAGAUGGAGACCCUGAAAGAAGGAAGGACUGCCCAUGGCCCUAAGCAAAAGUGCCACAGAAUGAAGAUGACCACUCUGGGCUCCAGAUGUCUAUCUAGCACCUGUCCAUCUUUCAAGACACUGCAGCUCCGGUGGCCUGCGGAGGGCAAAGGAGAGGGACCCCAGAAGCAUGGGCAGACUUGAUCAGAACAGAGAUUGAGCCUCCUUACCACCCCAAGUCCCCAUGUCCCCUUGAAUGAGCCCUAAAGACAAGUUAAAGGAAUUGGGGAGAAACCCCAAGCAGUCAAUACAUCAGCAGUGGGGCAGUGAGGGAACCCAACCCUGCUUCUCCAAGGUCCAAAGAGAGAGUAGGAACAGCUGCAUCUUGAAGAAGGAAGACCUAGGACAUCAAUCACGUGAACAAACCCAUGCCAAGAAUGUGGUAGUAUGGACACAUGUCCCAGGAAGCACAAAGAACCGUGGUUCCGGGCUCUGGCACUUUCCCCAAGCCCUAAAUAAUCUACCAAGUGAGGUCCCAGCAUUGCAGGUAAAGCAGCAGGUCAUGAUAUUCCGAGGAUUUGGGGCUAGCAUGUGAAGGUAGAAAUAGAUUCAACCCUACUCAUAC